UACAACAAACAUGUGGACGUGUGCCUUAAAAAUCCCAAAACCCUCAACAAAGUACAACAAACGUGUAGGUAAAAGACGUCCUGACCGCUGAGCGCUCCCAAACGGAAGCACUCCAUGUUCAUACUCCUGCUCCGCGUCUUCCGUCAACUAGCGGACCUGCCCUCCAACCACCUGCCCUCCCUCUACUACCACGUCAAACGGUUCAUGCCCGGUUUACGACUCGCCUAAGUCUUUCCCGCUUAGUACCUUUGCCAGGGCUUCGGUUCCCCAGCAAGGUCUUCGGCGUCAGGUUCUGCCCCCAUGGCACUACUAGUAGCCCCGUCUCUAAGAUCUUCCGCUUCAGCCUCAGCCUCACCUCUAUCUAUACCUGCACUGUCCAUGUCUCUCUCCCUGGUAGUAGCAGCAUCGUCCUCAGCAUCGUGAUCAGGACUACUAAUGUUCUCCGCACCGUCUCUGUCUUCAGGAUCAGCAUCGUCCUCGGCGUCGAUGUCAGGACUACUACUGUCCUUCCCACCGUCUCUGUCAAACAGCGGGCGUGCGUCUUCGUGAUCAGCGAGGGGAGCGUUCUGUGGUGGAGGAGCGUUCUGUGGUGGAGGAACGCUCCCCAGAGGACGAUUCGCGUUACUACUGGCAAGAGGACAAUCCGCGUUACUACUGGCAAGAGGACAAUCCGCGUUACUACUGGCCAGAGGUCCGAGAGCAUCGGGAAGUUGUACUCGACUUACAGUUUGUUGACUCCUAGUUACCUUGUCUCGACGAGUAUAACCUCCGACAAGUCAACGAAAUAGUACUUGUUAGACGUCAAUGUUAACGUUUAAUUUUUACAACACCACGAACUGUAGCCACUGAUGAAGUCCGAUGUCUACGACGAAACACCUACAGACCUAUGAACAAUCUUGAUAUAAAUGUACUACACCACUUCUCCACGACCAACUAUUUCCGACUUGUGUGUUCAACGAACGACAACGGCAACUAUAACAAACACGACAUAGGGAAUUACUACUACUACGACCACUACCUCUACUACUACCACUACGACCACCCCCAACUACUACCACCACUAGUAAAACGACGCACGUGAGAACAAUACGACUGUUCAUUCCAAGUUUACUAGGUCGACUCCAAGUGACGAAUUCGACAAGUAGUUAUUAUUUCAUAAUUUGUUGAGACCAGGUACAAUGACGUACGAUCCUAAACUUUUUUAACCAAAGAAUCAACUCAGAGACGAGUACUAAAUACAAUACGUUGGUGUUGUAUAGAAAUGUUUUCACACCAUCGUUGUCUGUAAACCCACAAGAAACAACAAACAAGACCGGAUUUAUUUAAGACUAUACUACUAUCUCAGAACUUUCUAUUCACCUUGAAUUUUCAAUCAUGUCAUGGAAAGAUAUGGUAAAUCUUCAGAUAAUACAUUUCUGAUGUAUCGUUACGUUUAUGAGAAUUACACGACUGGUUCAGUUAAAAAUCAUAGAAUCCUAAAACACACCAAAUAUCUCAAGUCUUACAAACCGUCAACUACAAGGUUCAAAUGUCAGUGACAUUCGUACACCAUCGUAGAACUGAACAUUGGUCAAACACUCUGAAGAAAAGAAGUAUAAUACUGAGAAUAUGCCGAAAAAAAAUUUUUUGAAAUGUUGAGAAUUGUAGGAAAGCGUUAUCUUCCACACCAUCCACAAAAGUUAACGUCUGACUUAAUACAGUCGAGGUUCCGGACGACGGGACAUCUACAUAGUACGCUUACGACUGAAUCCUAGUACACCACUACCGCCGGGAUACCUUUCUUGGAUGCGAGGUACUAACUACAUAUAUAAAGGCUUCACAUUACAUACCAUUGAAACAUCACUACAAGUAAACCAUGUGUUAACUUUUAAGGAACUUUUCUUGAACGCGACUAAACCAAACUAACAUGGUACCCGAUGAAACGAGUAACUGCUCACGAACAACGAACAAACCUAUAGAUUAAGCUUCAUAAAUGGACCG
rnacentral:rRNA from 1 species